rnacentral:lncRNA from 1 species
GUAGCCCCGGCCCCGCGUCCUUACCCUGCCGACGGCUGCUCGGCUCCGGCCCGCGGCGGCGGCCCCAGAGCCGAGGACCGGGGUGGGCUCGCGCUCUUCGUCACUGGAGAAGUCCGGGGGCCCCUUGCUGUUGGUGCCGGCGGGGAGCGGCGGCCGGUUGCGAGCCGUGAGGUGCUGCAGACCGAGGGGUCUUCCAGGAACUCCGGCAUCUCGGGGAUCUGCGAAGCCCCCUCCCCACAGCCUUUGCCGCCGCCGCUCACGCCGGCGCGCUUGCUCCUGGCCGGGGACCGCGCUGCCGCCUCCGAGCCUCACGGCUCCUGCCCGGGAAGAGCGCUGCGGAGCGGAACAAAAACUCGCGGACACAAAGCCAAGCCAGACCCGGACACAAAAGACCCCAGAGCCGAACUACGAACCAACUGCGGCCAAGCUGGAAGCUCGCACCAACCCCAGCCCACACACUACAGGCAGGAGGCGAGCAGCCUGCUUCGCCCACGCCCCAAGAACGCGCGCCGCCAUUGGCGGGCGACGGGAGGAAGCGCGGCGGUGAUUGGCGAGACGGCUCGCGCGGGUUCCAUUAGCCGCCGCGCUGAGCGAGAGGAGGUAGAAACGCAGUUUAAAAGGCGCUGGGGCGGGAGCCGAGGCUCCCGGCCCGCUUCUGUUUUCGUUUUCUCCACCCUUCCCCUUAGACGCCGAUAAGGGACAGGUCGUACUGCUUUUGUGCGCCGUUUCCUCUCCCUCCCCCAGCUUGAGAAGCAGCUUUCGUCUCUGGGGUCGAUCGCCUACGAACGCGCCGAAUUCCACGCCAGUGUGAGGACCCUUGGCUGGGCCUUUCUUCCUCCCGGGACACUGAAGCUCCAAGAGUAGCCGCAGCCUUGCCUUCCCCAAACGCUAGCCCUGAAGGGGAAGAAAAGAAGCGAGGCUUGUCUGCAGGCACUCAUAUUCCUUGAUUUGAUUUACUUUGGGAGGGGGAGGGCGGGGAGUUACCCCUCUCCUCGCGAACGCUUCUUUUGUUCCAGAAACCCAGGGGAAGCCAGACCUCUACAAUCGGGCACUUAAAUUACCCUUGAAUUUGUGACAAAAGUGUACUAUACCAUUCACUUCUUAGUGUCAUAGUUGGGGCAUGUCUAAAUUGUUUAAUUUGAACAGUGCGUUCAGACGCAAGACAAAUUCGCGCUUGCAU